AUGGAAGACAACCUGUUAGUGUGGAAUGUCAGGGGGCUUAACAACCCAGCUAGGAGGAUGGUAGUCAAGGAGUUGGUGUAUCGUAACAAUGUAACUCUAGUGUGUUUGCAAGAGACGAAAUUAUCCUUCAUUGAUCGGGUUGUUGUGCAUAAAUGUUGUGGCGCCGACUUCACUGAAUUUGCCUACUUGCCGGCUGAUGGGACUAGAGGUGGUGUCCUAAUGGCU
rnacentral:rRNA from 1 species